rnacentral:rRNA from 1 species
UACGUAGGGUGCAAGCGUUGUCCGGAAUUAUUGGGCGUAAAGGGCUCGUAGGCGGCCAACUAAGUCGGAUGUGAAAUCCCCAGGCUCAACCUGGGAACUGCAUCCGAUACUGGAUGGCUUGAGUUCGGGAGAGGGAUGCGGAAUUCCAGGUGUAGCGGUGAAAUGCGUAGAGAUCGGGAGGAAGGCCGGUGGCGAAGGCGGCGCUCUGGAACAUUUCUGACGCUGAGGCUCGAAAGCGUGGGGAGCAAACAGGG